AUCCAGUCGACGAGUCCCAAAUAGGACGAAACGCGCAUCCUGGAC
rnacentral:hammerhead_ribozyme from 1 species